rnacentral:rRNA from 1 species
GCUACAGGCUUAACACAUGCAAGUCGAGGGGCAUCAGGAAGAAAGCUUGCUUUCUUUGCUGGCGACCGGCGCACGGGUGAGUAACACGUAUCCAACCUGCCCUUUACUCGGGGAUAGCCUUUCGAAAGAAAGAUUAAUACCCGAUAGCAUAAUGAUUCCGCAUGGUUUCAUUAUUAAAGGAUUCCGGUAAAGGAUGGGGAUGCGUUCCAUUAGGUUGUUGGUGAGGUAACGGCCCACCAAGCCUUCGAUGGAUAGGGGUUCUGAGAGGAAGGUCCCCCACAUUGGAACUGAGACACGGUCCAAACUCCUACGGGAGGCAGCAGUGAGGAAUAUUGGUCAAUGGGCGCUAGCCUGAACCAGCCAAGUAGCGUGAAGGAUGAAGGCUCUAUGGGUCGUAAACUUCUUUUAUAUAAGAAUAAAGUGCAGUAUGUAUACUGUUUUGUAUGUAUUAUAUGAAUAAGGAUCGGCUAACUCCGUGCCAGCAGCCGCGGUAAUACGGAGGAUCCGAGCGUUAUCCGGAUUUAUUGGGUUUAAAGGGAGCGUAGGUGGACUGGUAAGUCAGUUGUGAAAGUUUGCGGCUCAACCGUAAAAUUGCAGUUGAUACUGUCAGUCUUGAGUACAGUAGAGGUGGGCGGAAUUCGUGGUGUAGCGGUGAAAUGCUUAGAUAUCACGAAGAACUCCGAUUGCGAAGGCAGCUCACUGGACUGCAACUGACACUGAUGCUCGAAAGUGUGGGUAUCAAACAGGAUUAGAUACCCUGGUAGUCCACACAGUAAACGAUGAAUACUCGCUGUUUGCGAUAUACAGUAAGCGGCCAAGCGAAAGCAUUAAGUAUUCCACCUGGGGAGUACGCCGGCAACGGUGAAACUCAAAGGAAUUGACGGGGGCCCGCACAAGCGGAGGAACAUGUGGUUUAAUUCGAUGAUACGCGAGGAACCUUACCCGGGCUUAAAUUGCAGUGGAAUGAUGUGGAAACAUGUCAGUGAGCAAUCACCGCUGUGAAGGUGCUGCAUGGUUGUCGUCAGCUCGUGCCGUGAGGUGUCGGCUUAAGUGCCAUAACGAGCGCAACCCUUAUCUUUAGUUACUAACAGGUUAUGCUGAGGACUCUAGAGAGACUGCCGUCGUAAGAUGUGAGGAAGGUGGGGAUGACGUCAAAUCAGCACGGCCCUUACGUCCGGGGCUACACACGUGUUACAAUGGGGGGUACAGAAGGCAGCUAGCGGGUGACCGUAUGCUAAUCCCAAAAUCCUCUCUCAGUUCGGAUCGAAGUCUGCAACCCGACUUCGUGAAGCUGGAUUCGCUAGUAAUCGCGCAUCAGCCACGGCGCGGUGAAUACGUUCCCGGGCCUUGUACACACCGCCCGUCAAGCCAUGGGAGCCGGGGGUACCUGAAGUACGUAACCGCAAGGAUCGUCCUAGGGUAAAACUGGUGACUGGGGCUAAGUCAU